rnacentral:rRNA from 1 species
UACGUAGGGUGCAAGCGUUGUCCGGAAUUAUUGGGCGUAAAGGGCGCGUAGGCGGCGAUUCAAGUGACGGGUGAAAUCCCUCGGCUUAACCGAGGAACUGCCUGUCAGACUGGAUUGCUUGAGUCCGGGAGAGGCGAGUGGAAUUCCCAGUGUAGCGGUGAAAUGCGUAGAUAUUGGGAGGAACACCAGUGGCGAAGGCGGCUCGCUGGACCGGAACUGACGCUGAGGCGCGAAAGCGUGGGGAGCAAACAGG